rnacentral:lncRNA from 1 species
GUCCUUAAAAGUUGAUUGUCCAAAUAAGCAUGGAAUAUGAUUGUCAGAUACUGAGUACUCAUAAAAAAAGUGAAUGUACCUAAGAGGCCUCUCUGUUAUAGGGAUUUGAUCAAAUUAGUCCUUCAACUAUUAAAUAGAUCAAUUUAGUCCCUUUACUAUUAAAAAGAAUCAAAUAAGACCAAAUUAGAAUAGAGUUAAAAUUUACUAUUUUAAAAAGUUAAUAUUUUUAAAGUUUUUACGAUUUUGUAAAUAAAAUCUUUUGUUUAGAUUUGAGUUGCAAUUGAAAAAUAAUAAUUUUCAAUACAUUUUUUAGAUAGUGAAUGUUAACUCUAUUACAAUUUGGACUUAUUUGAUUCUUUUUAAUACUAUAAGGACUAAAUUAAUCCAUUUAAUAAUAGAGGGGACUAAUUUGAUCCAGUACCUAUACAGGUACUUUAACCCAUAAACAAAUGAAAAGUCGAAGCCAUAUAGAUUUUUUGAAUGAAACUCAUCAAAGAGCCAGAGAUAUAGGAAUCACCUCAACAUGAAGAAGAUACAAAUCGGAAUCAAGAAUCAAGUUUAGUCCAAUGUGAAUUAUCCAUCUUGGAACCAUUUUGUCAAUCGAAACACCAAAGUUUCUCGGGAAAGUCCAAAUCAAUCUACUAUUACCUGGACUAACCGGAACACACAUAAAAAUCAAAGAAAAUCUUCGAUUCGGUGGCAGUGCCUGCAAAAAAAUACUUCUUUAUUGGUAAACAACACUCGGAAAACAAAUAAUAUACUGGACCUGACAGUCCACCGGUUCAACCAGUUCAACCUGCUGAUAAAUAGCAAUAUAUAGUGAAGUGAAUGCAGAACCUUUACAAUUUCGGAAGAUGUUGCAGAUCCAUUUUCUUGAUCAACUUCGACAUCAGUAAAAGCAUGAAAGAUGCAAGGUGCAAUAAAGUUAGAACUAUCCAAAUCUUGCUUUCCAAGAAAACCAUUUAUGUCCAACUUCUUAACUUUCAUAUCAAGUGGUCUACCCCCUUCUCUAUCAACCUUCACUGUGAACCAAAAUGUGCAAUUUUAGAUGCAAGAAUUCGAUAUCGCGAAAAUACAUACAUCAAGAACCUCUUACCGGUUGGGGUCCGAGUGCACAUUAUACCAUAAUGUGCAUAUGGAACAUGAGCAGGAUCCAUAAGAUUUUCAACCAGUACCUCGUACCUGAAAAUGCAAACUUAGUUUCUUCAACAAAUUUCAGCAACUAUUGAUGAUUUACAUCCACUACAUUACUCUCUUCAUUUUUCUUAGAGUACUCGCAUAAUUUGCAUACCCAUAAGGGAUAUCUCUGUUUACCAUCGACUUUGAAAAUGAAGGAUCAUCUAAUACAGGAAAGUAAGGAGGCUUUUUCUUUGUUAUAAUAUCUUUGUAUUGAGGAUCAGCAUUUGGCCAAACCCAUACAAUAUCAUGUUGCACAACACUUGGAUAAACAGCCACACAUGCUUUCUUGAAUGUAUGGACCUGCAAAUUUGAAAACCAAAGUUAAAAUAAGAGAACCCUUUUUGCCAAUAAUGCCACACAUUACAAGCAAUUGCUUAUUACUGUUGAGGGGAGGCCGGACUCUUUAUUAGGAGAAGUUUUCAAAGUAUCAUGAGCAGACGAACCCCUCAAUGGUUGAGGUAUUGUGCUCAAGGUGUCUAUGCUCGGUUUGUCUCUCGACUCCGCAGGGAGCCCUGACAGGUCCAUAAAGUGAGAACACCUUGCCCACCAAGGAAAUAAGAGCAUUUGGCCUUGGUGGGUUUGAAACCAUGCCCUUAUAUGGCAUUAGUAGGUAAGAAUAGUACCACUUGAGCUAGUGACCUCCCCUCAACAAUUAUAAUAUCAACACUUUAAAAGAGGAUCAGUAUGUAAAUACACUAUACUAAUUGAAGUUAGGAGAUUAGUGAAGAAUACUAUACGUCCACACAUUCAUUUUUCUUAAAAUAGUCGUGUCUGACAUUCAAUCCAACACACAAAUUCGUAGAUAUGAUCCCGAGUCGUAUCUUCAAAUAUAUACAUGUAUUCAAUACUCAUACCCGAGUCAGAGUAAACACCCAUACCUAUGUCCUUACAUGUAUAGAUAUAUCAUACAUGUAGGAGAAUUAAACCCCAGAAAGUUCCAAAUAAUCCUAACAUUAGAACAGCAAAAACAGAACAUAAUUAAACAUGAUGAUAUGAACUAAAAGAAAAGGGUUACCGGGGGUCCAUCUACGGGAGCUUGAGGAAUGAUUUUGCAGUCACCGUUGCCACCAAAACACCAACCAUGGUACACACAUUGUAACCUCCCCCAUUGAUCAAUUCUUCCCUCAGAUAAAGGAGCUAAUCUAUGAGGACAAGUAUCAUCGAACACUUUCCAUUCAUUCUCGUUCUUAUCCCACCAAACCACUAGAUCAAGUCCUAAUACUUUCUUACCAUGUGGCACCCUCUUAUCCAAAUCACUUACAGGCAUCACCGGAUACCACUGUGAGUACCAAUCGAAUCUCUCUUUACCGACCUCAGCCUCAACUUCCGGCAUAGGUGGCUCAAUAGACUCCGUUGUUGAUAUUGGGGACGAUGAUAAGGUCGUAAACAACCUGGAUUUCGAUCCAUUUCUUGUAAAACAUGGUAAUUGUAAGUUCAAAUUGUGAAAGAUGGGUUUAGAAAACUGGGUUUUGUUUCUUGUUGUUGUUGGAAUGUAUGGUGAAUAAACUAUGGUAGGAGAAGCUUUGAGAACAUCCAGGGAGGAUUAUAUAUGUUGGUUUAUUUUUCUUUUGUAUUUUAACGAUUAUGGCGUUCUUAAAAAGCUUAAAAGCAAAGAGAAAACGAAGAAGAGUGAAAGAACUUGAGGCUGAAAGAGGAUGAGCGUGUGAGUAAAUGAAACGCGUGAUGGAGGUAGACUGUGUGAGUAAAGAACUUGAGGCUGUGAGGAAAUGAAACUGAGUGAUGUGAUGUGAUCUUAGUGAGGCUAAAAAUGAAUUACAAAACAGUGCUUAUUGAAAAGUCGAGGAAAUAAAACAACAAAUAGUAAUCAAUGAACACUCCCAAAGCAAAGACUUUGAAAUGUUUGCAUUUUGCAAAAGUCAACAUGACUUUGUAGGAUUACAAUGGUAGGAUUACAAUUGACUAGAUUUCUCCGUCUCGAAAGUGAGCUAAAAAAUGAGAAAGUUUGGGUAAAAAUAUAUAUUAAAAAGUAAAUUUAGGCAAAAAAUAAGGUUCAUUUUUUAAACAGAUCGUAUCUCGGAUAAGUUUUUUUGACCUAAGCCCGGCCUGGCUCAGAUACCCUUAACAAAGUAUCGAUACCCUUCCCAAAAGUAUCGACACCCUGCUUGAGAAUCAAUACCUUAGGGAAGGUAUCGAUAUCUCAUAAUAAGUAUCGAUACAUUUCCUAUUGUAUCAAUAUUAUAGGCUUUAAUAUGGGCCGAAAAGGAUCGGACCCAAGUUUAGCAUCUAUAAUCUAGGUUGAGUUUGGGCAAAAAUUUAAGCCUAUUUUUUGAAUCGAGCCCGGGCUUAUUAAUUGGACCUAAAAUUUUAUUAGGGCUUAACCCGAACCAGCCCAUGAACAACUCUACGAGGGAGGAACCAAUAAAAUAAAUGUGUUGAAAUUAGGCUCAAUUUAUACUACUUUAAAUAAUAGCUUUUUUAAAUUCGGAAUAAUCUUGAUCGCCAAAAUUAACAUGUGAAAAUUAAAAUUAACUUUUAGAAAGAAAAAAAAAGUUAAAUAUUCAAUUUGUAUUAAAUAUUUUAAUUAUUUAAGCAUUAAAUAUUUUACCAAAUUAAUAUUUAAAUCCUACUUUGUAUUAGUUUAUCAAAUUAAACUAAAAAUAUUAUUAAAUUUAUCAUAAAAAUUUAUAAUUUUAUAAAAAAAUCAAGUUAAAAGAAACUCUGGAAAACUUUGGGGGUGGAACACAAAUUUACCCUAUUUUUAAGCAUUAAUUAUAAGGUUAAUAAAAAAAAUUAAAACUUAAAUGGGUUGAAUUGAAAUUUUAUAAAAUUUAGGGGCAUCCUGUAAUGCCCCUUACCCGUAUUCAACGCCGAAACAGGGUUCGAGGCAUUACCGGACUUAAACACAAGAAAUCAUACGAUUCCGAGCCAUGAGAAUUAAUCUACAUUAAAACCAUUCAAAAACAAUAUGCUCAACAUUCAAUAACAUAAUUCAACUUGCAUGCAUGAUACAAGACUUUAUCACUUCACUUACUCCUUUGCAACUUUACCACAUUUCAAUCACAUACCGAACACAUUACUCAUGAGUAUACACAUAUAUAUAUAUAUGCACUUAUCACCACAUAGUCACACAUAAUUUCACUUAGUCGAUUUUCCCGAUGAACACUUCGGAAUAAUAACAGAUACACGGUGGUUCCGCACAUAGCACCACCCUUAUGAUCAAUGCUAUCCGGUAUACAUAGUAGCCUACACUUAGUACUACACAUAUGACCAAUACCAUCCGAUACACGUAGUAGCCUGCACAUAGUACUACACACGUGACCGAAGCUAUCCAGUACACAUAGUAGCCUGCACUUAAUAUUACAUAUGUGACCAUAACUAUCUUAUACUCAUAGUAGCCUACACAUAGUACUACACAUGAUUUCUCAUGAUGUCUUUCGUAUCCUUUUCUAUUCUGAAAGUUCAACCGGGAAAUUUGUCACUUAUUCUCACUUUGUCAAUUUCAACCAUAGUCAAUCUCAAUUCAUAAUUUACAUCAAAUAAUCAUUCAAUAUACAACCACAUCUCAUGUAAUAUAACAAAAUAUUAUAACAUAAGUAAAAACGAUAUAUUAUUUACAUACAAACUAGAGGUGAUCAUGGGUUGGGCUACCCAGCCCGGCCCGACGACCCGCCCGAAAAAUGGGAGGGUUUGGGUAAAAAUAUAGACCCGAAAUAUAGGUUUGGGCAAAAAAACGAGGCCCCUUGGGUAAAAUUAUUUUGGUCCAAGCCCGGCCUGAAUUAUAUAUUAAAUAUUUAUUUUUUAUUUUUAAUCAAUUAUAUAUAUUUUAUAUAUAUUUAAUAUGGGUCGGGCCGGGCCAGGCUCAGCAAUUUUUUUCGGGCCGGGCUUGGACAAAUUUUUAGGCCCAUAUUUCGGGCCAAGCAGGGCCCGAGCCUAGAAAAUGGGCCUAAAUUUUUAUCUGGGCCAGGCCCAAACUCAGCCCAGUCCGCCCCAUGAUCACCUCUAAUACAAACUUACCUCGACACCAAAAGGGCAAAAAGGGACAUAACCGUCAAUUCUCGUUUUUCCCCCGUUCUAGGUCCGAACCUCAUUUUCUUUGAUCUAUAAUAUCAUAUUUAGCCUAAUUAUUAGUCACAUUAUUCAAAUCAGUCCACAAUUCAUAUGUUGGUAAAAUUAUUGUUUUGCCCCUAAACUUUCACAUAUUUACAAAUUAGUCCCUAGGCUCGUAAAACGAAAUUUAUGGAAUUUCAUCCAUAUCAAAGACUAACCGAAUUAUUUAGGUGCUCAUAGCAGCCCAUAUAAUCCCCAAUUUCACUCAUAUAACUCAAAAUCUUCAUACUUUACAAAUUAACCCCUAAUAGCAUUUUACAACAAAAAUCACUUAACAAGAAAUGUUCAACACACAACAAGGUUUCAUUUUACUCCAUUAAACUUCACAAUCAACUAUCAUGCUUUCAUUUCCCAAAACCCUAGCCUUUCAAUCAUCUUGCAAAUUAGUCCCCUAUUUAGCUAGCUUAAGCUUCAAUGGUUCCAAAAACAUAUAAAUCAACAAAAACAAACAUAAAUUUCACUUACAUGCAAGGGUUUAAAUUUGCUAAAAAUUUGAGUUCUCCAAUGGCUAUUCUCUUGGUAAAAAACGGUGGAAGAAGAUGAGCAAAUGAAUAAAAAUAAUAUUUUUAUUUCUUUUUGUUUAUUUUAUCAUAUUUCGUUAUGUAUAGAUGAUGAGAUUCCAUUGAUACAGAGCCAAUUCCAAUAGACUUAUUGGAGGGUCCCAUUGGCGUGCAUCCAGUAGGAAUUGAACCUACGAAUUCGCCAAUUAUGAGUUGGGCGCUUUAACCAUUCAGCCAUGGAUGCUUAGCGAGGAUCCUCGUACAUGGUGAAUAACCAAAUUCCAAUUGGAUUGAAAUCUUUAGGAUAAAUCAAUGCAAUUUUGGAGGAAUCAAUGAAAGGACAUCAAUUCAAAUCCUGGAUUUUCGAAUUGAGAGAGAUCAAGAAUUCUCACUAUUUCUUAGAUUCAUGGACUCAAUUCAAUUCAAUGGGAUCUUUCAUUCACAUUUUUUUCCACCAAAAAUGUUUUAUAAAACUCUUAGACCCCCGAAUUUGGAGUAUCCUACUUUCACGCAAUUCACACCAACCUAACCCAUCCAACAUCAUAAUUACACUCCAUGUGCAUCCACUUUCUCUUUUAAUGAUCUAAUUACUCAAUAAGGACCUCAAAUUUUAAGUUCUAUAGCUAAUUAACACAUUUAGCUAAUAGAACAUAACUUUAGCACUUUACGCGAUUUAGUCCUUUUGACUAAAUUGAGUGCCCAAAAGUCGAAAUUUUCAAACGAUAUUUCACGAAAUUAUUCCGUAAAAUUGUAGACUAUAAAAAUAUAGUAAAAUAAAUUUUCUUACGUCGGAUUUAGGGUCCCAAAAUUACUAUUCCGACUAGGCCCAAAAUCGGGUUGUUACACAUCCCUAGUGGUAAGGUGAAAAGUCAUCGUGUGGAUAAAAAGAUAGAGAGAGUGGUUAAAAGAAAGAGAAAGAAAGUAGGAAAAAUGUUCUCUUGUAUUGUUUUUAUAGUCUCUUCCGUGCAAUGAUAAGUCGUAUAUAUGACAUCUCACAAUGUUCUCUUGUAUUGUUUUUAUAGUCUCUUCAGUACAAUGAUAAAUCAUAUAUAUGACAUCUCACAUGUCAUGACAUCACUAGCAAAAAGGUCACGUCUUGUCUUCUCACAGGUGCGGGAAUGCGAAUUCAAAGGUGGGUAAUGCAACGCCUUAAUAUGGUUAAACAAUUAACGGGUGUAAGGUUACAUAUACUCUUAACGAAGUUAGUCUAUAAUGAAGGUUCGUUCACCUUACCAUAGAGCCACUUGAUGUUAUGAGUUCAAUCAAUAGAAUUAGAUUUUUUAAAACCUUGUUCAUGGCAUGUAAUCUAGAACAUUUAAAUGUAGAGUUGAAAACACAUAAAAUAUGUAUAUUUAAUUUCUAAUCAUUGUUGGUAUAGAAAAAAAAAAAAGAUGUUCAACUAGCUUUUAACCUUACAUACAAAGUAAAGGGUGUCAUAUUCACAUAAACUUACACAAAAGCAUGGUUAUAGUCAUGGUAAUGAAAAUUCUUGUAAAUGAAAUGAGCCAACCAUUUUGAAGCUGCAAAACAAACGAUAGCCAUUGAUACCAUUGUUGUUUUAACCACCAUUGAUAUCAUGUUUUGCUUUGUUACAGCAACGAUGCCAAUCAAACCAACAGACGUGAUUUGUAGUAUUACUUCGAGUGCCUUGAGACCUUUAUGUGCAGUAUUACAACUCUUACAAUUCACCACAUGACUCCAAUACCUGCAAAACAAGAACAAAGGUUAUAAGGUAUGUUACCCGGGUUCAGAGCGUUGGAUUCACGUACAUAUUCGAUACAGGUAUGUUCAUAUGUUAGGAUACAAGCUCCCAUAUUUCGAGAAAAGUGAAGAGUCAGAGCAAUAUAAGGACAAAGUUACUAAAUUUACCUGUCCAUUAGUUGUUCUCUAGGAGGGGACGGAGGAAGAGCUCCACUAUACUUCCCUUUCCAAUCAAUCUCACCGCCGGCAUACUUGUUGAACCACCUUCGGAAACCGACUACUAAGGCAUCCGACUUUGUAGGCACGAAACAAGCUUUUUGCCAACUGGUAGCCCCGAUUUCCAUUAUUUUACGCUCCUACAUGGAGAAAUAAGGUGUAAAACAAAACGAAGUUUACUAGGCAAGAAUAUUUGCAUAUAGCUAUGUGUUAAACAUGAGUUCUUCAUAUAUUUAGAGGGUCCUUAAAAGUUGAUUGUCCAAAUAAGCAUGGAAUAUGAUUGUCAGAUACUGAGUACUCAUAAAAAAAGUGAAUGUACCUAAGAGGCCUCUCUGUUAUAGGGAUUUGAUCAAAUUAGUCCUUCAACUAUUAAAUAGAUCAAUUUAGUCCCUUUACUAUUAAAAAGAAUCAAAUAAGACCAAAUUAGAAUAGAGUUAAAAUUUACUAUUUUAAAAAGUUAAUAUUUUUAAAGUUUUUACGAUUUUGUAAAUAAAAUCUUUUGUUUAGAUUUGAGUUGCAAUUGAAAAAUAAUAAUUUUCAAUACAUUUUUUAGAUAGUGAAUGUUAACUCUAUUACAAUUUGGACUUAUUUGAUUCUUUUUAAUACUAUAAGGACUAAAUUAAUCCAUUUAAUAAUAGAGGGGACUAAUUUGAUCCAGUACCUAUACAGGUACUUUAACCCAUAAACAAAUGAAAAGUCGAAGCCAUAUAGAUUUUUUGAAUGAAACUCAUCAAAGAGCCAGAGAUAUAG